UGUUAUAGAUAUGUAGUGUUAGUGUUAUAGAUAUGUAGGGUUAGAGUUAUAGAUAUGUAGGGUUAGAGUUAUAGAUAUGUAGGGUUAGAGUUAUAGAUAUGUAGGGUUAGAGUUAUAGAUAUGUAGGGUUAGAGUUAUAGAUAUGUAGGGUUAGAGUUAUAGAUAUGUAGGUUAAGGGUUAGUGUUAUAGAUAUGUAGUGUUAGUGUUAUAGAUAUGUAGUGUUAUAGAUAUGUAGGGUUAGUGUUAUAGAUAUGUAGUGUUAGGGUUAGAGUUAUAGAUAUGUAGGUUAAGGGUUAGUGUUAUAGAUAUGUAGUGUUAGUGUUAUAGAUAUGUAGUGUUAUAGAUAUGUAGGUUAGUGUUAUUGAUAUGUAGUGUUAGGGUUAGAGUUAUAGAUAUGUAGGUUAAGGGUUAGUGUUAUAGAUAUGUAGUGUUAGGGUUAGUGUUAUAUGUAGUGUUAGGGUUAGUGUUAUAGAUAUGUGGUGUUAGGGUUAGAGUUAUAGAUAUGUAGGUUAAGGGUUAGUGUUAUAGAUAUGUAGUGUUAGUGUUAUAGAUAUGUAGUGUUAUAGAUAUGUAGGGUUAGUGUUAUUGAUAUGUAGUGUUAGGGUUAGAGUUAUAGAUAUUUAGUGUUAUAGAUAUGUAGGGUUAGAGUUAUAGAUAUGUAGGGUUAGAGUUAGAGUUAUAGAUAUGUAGUGUUAGGGUUAGAGUUAUAGAUAUGUAGGUUAAGGGUUAGUGUUAUAGAUAUGUAGGGUUAGUGUUAUAGAUAUGUAGUGUUAGGGUUAGAGUUAUAGAUAUGUAGUGUUAGUGUUAUAGAUAUGUAGUGUUAGGGUUAGAGUUAUAGAUAUGUAGGGUUAGUGUUAUAGAUAUGUAGUGUUAGUGUUAUAGGUAUGUAGUGGUUAGUGUUAUAGAUAUGUAGGAUUAGUGUUAUAGAUAUGUAGUGUUAGGUUAGUGUUAUAGAUAUGUAGGUUAAGGGUUAGUGUUAUAGAUAUGUAGUGUUAGGGUUAGAGUUAUAGAUAUGUAGGGUUAGUGUUAGUGUUAUAGAUAUGUAGUGUUAGGGUUAGUGUUAUAGAUAUGUAGGGUUAGUGUUAUAGAUAUGUAGUGUUAGGGUUAGUGUUAUAGAUAUGUAGUGUUAGGGUUAGUGUUAUAGAUAUGUAGGUUAAAGGUUAGUGUUAUAGAUAUGUAGUGAUAGGGUUAUAGAUAUGUAGUGUUAGUGUUAUAGAUAUGUAGUGUUAGGGUUAGUGUUAUAGAUAUGUAGUGUUAGGGUUAUUGUUAUAGAUAUGUAGGUUAAGGGUUAGAGUUAUAGAUAUGUAGGGUUAGUGUUAUAGAUAUGUAGUGUUAGGGUUAUAGAUAUGUAGUGUUAGGGUUAGAGUUAUAGAUAUGUAGGGUUAGUGUUCUAGAUAUGUAGUGUUAGGGUUAGUGUUAUAGAUAUGUAGUGUUAGGGUUAGUG
rnacentral:lncRNA from 1 species